UGCACUUAGAGAGAAUCGAACCAGCGAUCCUCAUCCCGCCAGACUGACGCACUAGCCACUGCGCCAUAGC